CUACGGGGUGCAGCAGUGAGGAAUAUUGCACAAUGGGGGGAACCCUGAUGCAGCAACGCCGCGUGGAGGAUGACGCAUUUCGGUGUGUAAACUCCUUUUAUAUGUCAAGAAAAUGACGGUAGCAUAUGAAUAAGCACCGGCUAACUCCGUGCCAGCAGCCGCGGUAAUACGGAGGGUGCAAGCGUUACUCGGAAUCACUGGGCGUAAAGGACGCGUAGGCGGGUUGGAAAGUCAGGUGUGAAAUCCUACAGCUUAACUGUAGAACUGCACUUGAAACUUCUAAUCUAGAGUAUGGGAGGGGAGAUGGAAUUAGUGGUGUAGGGGUAAAAUCCGUAGAUAUCACUAGGAAUACCUAUAGCGAAGGCGAUCUCCUGGAACAUUACUGACGCUAAGGCGUGAAAGCGUGGGGAGCAAACAGGAUUAGAUACCCGCGUAGUC
rnacentral:rRNA from 1 species